UCAGUAAAACAAUGGGAAAAAUGUCAUUUAAUCCUCCAAUUUUCAAAAAAUGGUCAUUUUAUACAUCAACUUCGUAUGUGGCCGUUUAAAACAUGAACUAAACGUUGACUAAUUUUUAAAACAUGAUCUUUCGUUGAUCAGGCCAGAAUAGACAUGCCGUUGUCAGUCAUUAACGGAACUUUUAACGUCCUUUAUCAUCCGUUAACUUUAUUAGUCAAGUUUCAAAUUGUGGUCAUUUUAAACAUCAACUUCUUAUUUGGCCAUUUAAAACAUGAACUAAACGUUGACUACCAUUUAAGACAUGAAACAUUCGUUGACCAGGCCAAAAUAGACAUUUCUUUAUCAGUAGAACCUAGAAAUAAUAACUGUUAAUCUGUCCAAAACAACGUCGUUUGAGAAUAAUCGAAAGAACACAAAGAUUUUUUCCAUAUGAAAUCUCCAUAUCAAAAGUUUUAAGCAGAACCCAAGAACAUAGUUUGAUAAAGAGAUAAUCGCAGUGCCAGUAAUUGGAAGCAAAUAAAGGUGUUUUCGUUUAUAUAUUUGUUUUAAAUUUUAAAGGGAAUCAUGAAAGCAAAUUGAAGACUCAUUAUAAGAUUGUUCGUCUUGUUUGAGCGGUUGUAGAAAUAGAUUUGGGGAACUGGGGUUUCAUUUAGAAUCUUUUGAUUAUUCUCAAAACAAAGUCGUUUUAGGGAUACUAAUAGAGUCGUUAACAAGUGAUAAUGAAUUUUAUAAGUUCUUCUAAUGAAUGAUGACAACAUGUUUAUUUUGGCUUGGUCAACGAAUUUCUCAUGUUUUAAAUGGUAGUCAACGCUUAGUUCAUGUUUAAAAUAGUCACAUAUAAAGUCGGUGUUUAAAAUGGCCACAAUUUAAAACUUGACUAAUAAAGUCGUUAACGGAUGAUAACGGAUGUUAGAAGUUCCGUUAAUGACUGAUAACGGCAUGUCUAUUUUGGCAUGGUCAACGAAUAAUCAUGUUUUAAAAGUUAGUCAACGUUUAGUUCAUGUUUUAAACGGCCGCAUACGAAGUUGAUGUAUAAAAUAGCCAUUGUUUGAAAGUUGGGGGAUUAAUUGACAUUUUUCCCGUAAAACAACAUUCAGCUAUUACAAUGACAGAUUAUUUGUUGUAAGUUUUCUU
rnacentral:sRNA from 1 species